rnacentral:rRNA from 1 species
CCUGGCUCAGGACGAACGCUGGCGGCGUGCCUAAUACAUGCAAGUCGGACGGUUUAGAAGUGAGAGGCUUGCCUCUCGCUUUUAGACAGUGGCGGACGGGUGAGUAACACGUAGGCAACCUGCCCGUAAUACCGGGAUAACCUGGGGAAACCGAGGCUAAGCCCGGAUAGGCUCCUUUUCCGCAUGGGAGAGGAGGGAAAGGGUGCGACCCGAUUACGGAGGGGCCUGCGGCGCAUUAGCUAGUUGGUGAGGUAACGGCCCACCAAGGCGAUGAUGCGUAGCCGACCUGAGAGGGUGACCGGCCACACUGGGACUGAGAGACGGCCCAGACUCCUACGGGAGGCAGCAGUAGGGAAUCUUCGGCAAUGGGCGAAAGCCUGACCGAGCAACGCCGCGUGAGUGAGGAAGGCCUUCGGGUUGUAAAACUCUGUUGUUUGGGAAGAAGGGAAAGGGUAGGCCCCUUAGGUGACGGUACCAAACGAGAAAGCCCCGGCUAACUACGUGCCAGCAGCCGCGGUAAUACGUAGGGGGCGAGCGUUGUCCGGAAUGAUUGGGCGUAAAGCGCGCGCAGGCGGUCCUUUAAGUCUGAUGUGAAAGCCCGCGGCUUAACCGCGGAAGGUCAUUGGAAACUGGGGGACUUGAGGCUAGGAGAGGGAAGUGGAAUUCCUGGUGUAGCGGUGAAAUGCGUAGAGAUCAGGAGGAAUACCGAUGGCGAAAGCAGCUUUCUGGCCUAGAACUGACGCUGAGGCGCGAAAGCGUGGGGAGCAAACAGGAUUAGAUACCCUGGUAGUCCACGCCGUAAACGAUGAGUGCUAGGUGUGAGGGGUUUCAAGGCCCUUCGUGCCGCAGUACACACAAUAAGCACUCCGCCUGGGGAGUACGGUCGCAAGUCUGAAACUCAAAGGAAUUGACGGGGGCCCGCACAAGCGGUGGAGCAUGUGGUUUAAUUCGAAGCAACGCGAAGAACCUUACCAGGGCUUGACAUCCCUCUGACGGGAGUAGAGAUACUUCGUCCCUUCGGGGCAGAGGAGACCAGGUGGUGCAUGGUUGUCGUCAGCUCGUGUCGUGAGAUGUUGGGUUAAGUCCCGCAACGAGCGCAACCCUUGAGCUUAGUUGCCAGCAUUCAGUUGGGCACUCUAGGCUGACUGCCGCAGACGAAGCGGAAGAAGGUGGGGAUGACGUCAAAUCAUCAUGCCCCUUAUGUCCUGGGCUACACACGUGCUACAAUGGCCGGUACAAAGGGAAGCGAAGGAACGAUCCGGAACGGAACCCAAAAAGCCGGUCCUAGUUCGGAUUGCAGGCUGCAACUCGCCUGCAUGAAGUCGGAAUCGCUAGUAAUCGCGGAUCAGCAUGCCGCGGUGAAUCCGUUCCCGGGCCUUGUACACACCGCCCGUCACACCACGAGAGUCCGAAACACCCGAAGUCG